rnacentral:rRNA from 1 species
AGCAGUAGCCGCGGUAAUACAGAGGGUGCGAGCGUUAAUCGGAUUUACUGGGCGUAAAGCGUGCGUAGGCGGCUUCUUAAGUCGGAUGUGAAAUCCCUGAGCUUAACUUAGGAAUUGCAUUCGAUACUGGGAAGCUAGAGUAUGGGAGAGGAUGGUAGAAUUACAGGUGUAGCGGUGAAAUGCGUAGAGAUCUGGAGGAAUACCGAUGGCGAAGGCAGCCAUCUGGCCUAAUACUGACGCUGAGGUACGAAAGCAUGGGGAGCAAACAGGAUUAGAUACCCCUGUAGUCCCUGUCUCUUAUAC